ACAUGCAAGUCGAACGGCAGCACGAGAGAGCUUGCUCUCUUGGUGGCGAGUGGCGGACGGGUGAGUAAUAUAUCGGAACGUGCCCAGUAGCGGGGGAUAACUACUCGAAAGAGUGGCUAAUACCGCAUACGCCCUACGGGGGAAAGGGGGGGAUCGCAAGACCUCUCACUAUUGGAGCGGCCGAUAUCGGAUUAGCUAGUUGGUGGGGUAAAGGCUCACCAAGGCAACGAUCCGUAGCUGGUUUGAGAGGACGACCAGCCACACUGGGACUGAGACACGGCCCAAACUCCUACGGGAGGCAGCAGUGGGGAAUUUUGGACAAUGGGGGAAACCCUGAUCCAGCCAUCCCGCGUGUAUGAUGAAGGCCUUCGGGUUGUAAAGUACUUUUGGCAGAGAAAAAAAGGCAUCCCCUAAUACGGGAUGCUGCUGACGGUAUCUGCAGAAUAAGCACCGGCUAACUACGUGCCAGCAGCCGCGGUAAUACGUACGGUGCAAGCGUUAAUCGGAAUUACUGGGCGUAAAGCGUGUGUAGGCGGUUCGGAAAGAAAGAUGUGAAAUCCCAGGGCUCAACCUUGGAACUGCAUUUUUAACUGCCGAGCUAGAGUAUGUCAGAGGGGGGUAGAAUUCCACGUGUAGCAGUGAAAUGCGUAGAUAUGUGGAGGAAUACCGAUGGCGAAGCAACCCCCUGGGAUAAUACUGACGCUCAGACACGAAAGCGUGGGGAGCAAACAGGAUUAGAUACCCUGGGUAGUCCACGCCCUAAACGAUGUCCACUAGCUGUUGGGGCCGUUAGGCCUUAUUAGCGCAGCUGACGCGUGAACGUUGACCGCCUGGGAGUACGGUCGCAGUAUUGAAAACUCAAAGGAAUCGACUGGGGACCCCGUCACAAAGUCGGUGGAAUGCAUGUAGCAUAAAUCGAUGCUACGCGUAAGAAUCGUUACCCGUUACCACUUGAACCUGAUUCCUGUG
rnacentral:rRNA from 1 species